rnacentral:rRNA from 1 species
AAUAAGAAAUCGGGACACUCUACACACAUUGUAAACGUACCUCUGUAGCUUUGGCGGCUCCGGCCGCCUAAGGACCUUCAUACUCCAGUCAGUAAACGCAGACCUCUGAUAAACAAGUUAAUAAACUAAAACUUUCAACAACGGAUCUCUUGGUUCUGGCAUCUAUGAAGAACGCACCGAAAUGCGAUAAGUAAUGUGAAUUGCACAAUUCAGUGAAUCAUCGAAUCUUUGAACGCACAUUGCGCCCCUUGGUAUUCCGGGGGGCAUGCGUGUUCUAGCGACAUUACAACCCUCAAGCUCUGCUUGAAAUUGGGUGCCGCCCUCACUGUUGAGGCGCCUCAGAGAGCUCGAGCGUGGCUGUUCACCCCUCAAGCGGAUUAGAAUAGGCCUCCCUUUGGAGAGGUUGGCGCCCCCCGGCGGACGAACCUUCUGAACUAUUCUCAAGGGUGACCUCAGAUCACGUCUGGAUAUGCGAUGAAGAUGGACAUAUGCCGAAACAGACGAAAAUUUUCCAAAGGUUGACCUCGGAUCAGGUAGGAAUACCCGCUGAACUUAAGCAUAUCAAUAGCCGAAGGAACUGG